rnacentral:lncRNA from 1 species
GGAAAGGGGCGAAGGAAGCCCCUCCCGUUAGCAAAACGCCCUGGUUUCACUGUAAGGAUGUUAAUUAGCGGUAAUUAGCGCUAAUUAGGGCCGUACCUGGCGCUGCUGCGAGGGGGGGGCGGCGGAGGGGUCCCCCCCCCCCUCCGGGGUCAGGGCCUGGAGGCGGCGCUGGAGGCUGCGGCUGCGGGCGCUCAGCCGGGAGCGCUCGGCACUGGGCUCCACCAGGCCCUGGGGGGGCAGGGGGGGACCCCAAAAUCCCAUAAGGACCCUGGGGGCCUCCAGCACCCCAUAAUGACCCCAGGGUCCCCCAAUAUCCCAUAAUAUCCCUGGGGUCCCCAAUAUUCCACAGUGCCCCUGGGGUCCUCCCGAAUCCCAUAAUAUCCCUGGGGUCACCCCAACAUCCCAUAAUGACCCCAAAGUGACCCCAAUAUCCCAUAAUAUCCCUGGGGUCACCCCAAAAUUCACAGUGCCCUUGGGGUCCUCCCGCAUCCCAUAAUGCCCCCAGGGUCACCCCAAAAUCCCAUAAUGCCCCUGGGGUCCUCCACCAUCCCACAAUUCCUUUGGGGUCCUCCAGUAUCCCACAAUGCCCUGGGGUCACCCCAAAAUCCCACAAUGCCCCUGGGGUCCUCCACCAUCCCAUAAUGCCCCUGGGGUCCUCCAGCAUCCCACAAUUCCUUUGGGGUCCUCCCGCAUCCCAUAAUGCCCCUGGGGUCCCCCAACAUCCCACAAUGCCUCUGGGGUCCUCCUGCAUCCCACAAUGCCCCGGGGUCCUCCAGCAUCCCACAAUUCCUUUGGGGUCCUCCAGUAUCCCACAAUUCCUUUGGGGUCCUCCACCAUCCCAUAAUGCCUCUGGGGUCCCCCAACAUCCCACAAUUCCUUUGGGGUCCUCCCGCAUCCCAUAAUGCCCCUGGGGUCCUCCACCAUCCCACAAUCCCCUGGGGUUCCCCAGUAUCCCACAAUGCCCCAGGGGUCCUCCAGUAUCCCAUAAUGCUCCUGGGGUCCUCCAGCAUCCCACAAUUCCUUUGGGGUCCUCCAGUAUCCCAUAAUGCCCUUGGGGUCCCCCAGUAUCCCACAAUGCCCCGGGGUCCUCCAGCAUCCCACAAUCCCCCAGGGUCCCCCAGUAUCCCACAAUUCCUUUGGGGUCCUCCAGCAUCCCAUAAUCCCCCCAGGGUCACCCCAAAAUCCCACAAUGCCCCUGGGGUCCCCCAAUAUCCCACAAUCCCCUGGGGUCCUCCACCAUCCCACAAUCCCCCGGGGUCCCCCAGUAUCCCACAAUGCCCUGGGGCCCACCUGCAGGCAGAGGUAGACGUGGGUUCCGGGGCCGGCCGGGGCCCCCACCCAGCCGGGCCCCAGCUCUGGCUCCGCCCCCUGGGGGAGGAGCCUCAGAGGCCCCGCCUGCGCCAGGGCCUGGAGGGCGGGGCCGAGCUCCCGAAACGCCGCCCUCAUCUCCUCCGGGCACCGCACGGCCACUGCGCAAAGCAUGCUGGGAUAGCCCCGCCUCCAAGAUGGCCGCCCCACCAAUCACCUUCCUGCCCUCAGAAAUAGCCCCGCCUCCAAGAUGGCCGCCCAACCAACCACCUUCAUACCCUGCUGGGGAUAGCCCCGCCUCCAAGAUGGCCACCCCACCAAUCACCAUCAAGCCCCGCCUCCAAGAUGGCCGCCCCACCAACCACCUUCCUCCCCUGACAUAACCCCGCCUCCAAUAUGGCCGCCUCCACUGGGCGCCGCCAUCUUAGGCCCUCCCCAGUGACCACCCCUUACACCCCGGUGCACGCUGGGACAUGUAGUCCCAUGGGCCCGGCCGCCAUCUUGAGGCCUUGGUGGCCAUCUUGGGCCUCCGUAACCUCCCCUCCUGGCGGCCAUUUUGGGCCUCGACAUCCCCCAUUCCCAUUGACCUCCAGCCUCCAUCUUGAGGCCUCCGUCAGCCAUCUUGGGCCUCCAUAACCUCUACUCUUGUUGGCCAUCUUGGGCCUCGAUGUCCUCCCCUCUUGGCGGCCAUCUUGGGCCUUGACGCGUCCUCCACUCCCAUCAACCCCCAGCCUCCAUCUUGAGGCCUGGCAGCCAUCUUGGGCCUCAACGUCCUCCCCUCCUGGCGGCCAUCUUGGGCCUUGACACCCCUGUCAACCAUUUUGGGCCUCGACGUCCUCCACUCCCAUCAGCCCCCAGCCUCCAUCUUGAGGCCUCCAUCAGCCAUCUUGGGCCUCGAUGUCCUCCCCUCUUGGCGGCCAUCUUGGGCCUCGACGUCCUCCACUCCCAUCAGCCCCCAGCCUCCAUCUUGAGGCUCCUGGCAGCCAUCUUGGGCCUUGUUAACCUCUACCCUUGUCGGCCAUCUUGGGCCUUGCUAACCUCCACUCCCAGUGGCCAUCUUGGGCCUCGAGGCCCUCCACUCCCCCCAAAUCCCGUCCCCAACACUCCCCGCCCGUCCCCCUCCCCGGCGGCCAUCUUGAGCCCUGGCAGCACUCACCGUGGGGCCGCGCGGCGCCGAGGCGGAAAGUCUCCCGCAGAGCCCUCACCACCCUGACCACCUCCCGCAUGGCCUCCACCU